AUGGAAGAUGCAUGGCUUGAGCAUCUGCAUGGUUCUUGAGAGUUAAAGCUGCACGACGAUGGAUAGUGGAAACAGAGCUUCUCAAGAAGCAUUCGUUUUCGUGGUGCCUUUCCUGACCUCCUUGGUGGUCAGCUGAGGUGCGCACAAACCGGCAAGUCACAAUACGGCAAUGGCGGAUUCCAUUAGGAGUCCU
rnacentral:sRNA from 7 species